CAGCAGCCGCGGGAAUACGUAGGGUGCGAGCGUUAAUCGGAAUUACCGGGCGUAAAGCGUGCGCAGGCGGUUGUGUAAGACAGGUGUGAAAUCCCCGGGCUUAACCUGGGGACUGCGCUUGUGACUGCACAGCUAGAGUAUGGCAGAGGGGGGUGGAAUUCCACGUGUAGCAGUGAAAUGCGUAGAGAUGUGGAGGAACACCGAUGGCGAAGGCAGCCCCCUGGGCCAAUACUGACGCUCAUGCACGAAAGCGUGGGACGCAAACAGGAUUAGAUACCCGCGUAGUCCCUGUCUCUUAUAC
rnacentral:rRNA from 1 species